UUCCAAUAUUAUGGGACAAGUUCUGUGGCCAAGUGAGAACCAUUUGACGAUGUUGGAUCUUUCAUAGGUUUGGCCAGUUGAAAGUGUUACUGGCUCUUGCAUUGGCUCAAGUGAAAUUGGACAAAUGAACACCGCAUGAAUAUAAUGCA